rnacentral:rRNA from 1 species
UACGUAGGUGACAAGCGUUGUCCGGAUUUACUGGGCGUAAAGAGCGCGCAGGCGGUCGUUCAAGUCGAGUGUGAAAGCCCCCGGCUCAACUGGGGAGGGUCAUUCGAUACUGAUCGACUCGAAGGCAGGAGAGGGAAGUGGAAUUCCCGGUGUAGUGGUGAAAUGCGUAGAGAUCGGGAGGAACACCCGUGGCGAAGGCGGCCAACUGGGCCGACCCUGACGCUGAGGCGCGAAGGCGUGGGGAGCGAACGGG